GCCAACUGAUCCUGACGAAGCCCUGGGUACAGGUACUUUGCCCAGAAUUUUCUAUAAAUUCCCCAAAAUAAAAUGAAUAAAAGCGGAGACUUCACAAAAUGAUAGGACCAUCAGUUAAGGUUUGUUUGGACUGACGAAGCUCUACUCAAAUCCAGCCACUUCUGCUCCGCAACUGCGAAUUGGGUCACACAGCAACUAUCAGCGGCAUCACCGACCAGGAAGAUAGCUGGAAGUGUUCUUUUUCAAAAAAGAAAAGAUUUGACAGUUGCUUGAAGCAGGAAAUUUUGAGGGAAUAAAAGCACAAAUUUUCCAAUGAAUACAGCGGCAGUUUAUGAGAAGUUCACUAAAGCAAAACCUCUUUCUUAUGAAUGAAGCUGUAAAAUCCAUUCAUGCAGCCCAGCAGGAAAACUAAGAAAGACUUGUGAAAAUGGCAAGCUAUUUGUGGAGGAAAUAUGCAGAUUAUGUGUACUCAAAGUGGGAAAAAACUAUUCUUUGGGACAUGGUUGACCCAUACAGGAGACCCAAAUCUUUCACUCCUCUUGUCACGAUCUAUAUCCUUGCUUUCUAUACUGGGGUCAUUGGGUCCGCUAUCACAGAGCAACUCUACAAGGAGAAGUACUGGGAAGAUCACCCCGGCCACGUAGUGCCUUUAAUGAAACCAAAGUUCUAUUAUGGCCCUUGGAAGAUACUGAAAGGGGAGGCUCUCCCACCUGACCAGUGAAAUAUGCAAGCGACCUGUUGAACACAAUUGUCAGUGCUCUUCUAUCUUAAUUUACUGUAGUUUAAAGAUGAAUAUUGGGCGAUUUUUUAAACAAAAACAAGUUCUGGUAUUUUGCUCUUGUAUUGACAUGCUUCGUUGUUAAUCAGAAUUGGUUUAAACAGUUGUGAUUAUCUUUCCCAUGUGUGAUCAUUAAUAUAGUGCAAGAUUUGCUGUCAUGAAUGCUAA